UAUUUCUCCUUUUGCUUUGUACAUUGGACAUAUUGUUGAAUGGAAGGUACAUUUUGCUACAUGAAAUUCUUUCUCACCACCACAUCAAAGAAGGGCUGUUUUUGUCAUUGAUUGGAUGUGCUAUUAGAAUUCCUUCGAAUCUCAUCACCACACCAAUGAACUGUUGAUUUUGUCACUUGUACCACCUCCUUUAUAUGGGAAGGAAUAAAACAAUACUUUCCUGAGGGGAAUUAUAGAGAGGAAGUCAAGAUGGCGGCAUAGGCAGACUCUGAACUCACCUCCUCCCGCGGACACAGCCAAUUUACGACUACUCAUGGAAAAAUUACCCCUGAGACAGAACUGAAAACUGGAUGAGAGGAACUCCUGCAACAAUGGGCAAUCCUAAUUGAGGUAGAAGAGGCAGAAACUCCCUUCUGGAGAGGAAAAACGCCGCCUUCACAAGCUGCAGUACCUCACGGCCGCCGGGAGCAGCCCACAGGUUUGAAAUGACAUUGUAAUUGCCUGGCUGACAACUGGAAUGACAUUGGAAUUCUUUCCUACCACAACAUUGGAAGUGCUGAUGUUGUCACUUGUACAAAUUUCUUUUGCUGGAAAUGAUCAGAACACUGAUAUCCUGAGAUUGAUGUGAACUAAGACCUUGGUUUCAUAUGAAAAAAAAAAUCAUUCCCUCCUCUUGAGAUGUGACAAGAAGGAAAGUAUUGGGAAUAGUUCUAUCUCAUCCUCAAGAGCCAGUAGGAAUUCUAACACCAGUAAGCAUUUUGUCCUGGAGAUACUGCAUUCCUCUGAGCACAUUGUAACACUCUAUGACAAGGCAAUAUUGGAGUUGGUUGGAAAUCCCACCACUGUUCCAAUGAACUGCUGAUUGUGUCACUUGUACCAGCUCCCUUCUACAGGAAUGAUCAGAACAGUACCCUCCAGAGUUAACAUUGCAGAGACUCAACCUCCCUUUUACAAAUGUGCCUGGAUCAAGGAUGACUUCAAAAAUGGGUCUCAUUGGAAUCUGAACAAAAUGAGUGACAAAAUCACUUCUAUGAGAAUGGAAGUGAUUUUGGAAUAGCAUGAAACACUCACCACCAUAGCAAAUAAGUGCUGAUUUUGUCACUUUUGCCUGUUCCUUUUUCUGGGAUGAAACAAAACAAUGCUCUCCAAAGGUCAACAAGAACAAAGCUCAGGUUUCAUAUGAAAAUGUUUAUUCCUUUCCCUUGAGAUAAGACAUGAAGGAAAGGCCCAUCUUCAAGGGCCAGUGGGACUUCUUAGGUGGGUAAGCAUUUAUAUAAUACUUCUAGGGAUUAUAUAAUACUCAAAUUACCAUAAACACUGUAUAUGAUAGCCAGCUGUGAAAAAUGGAUCAUUGAUGUGGGGGCUGGUCUUCAUAACUGAAUAGGGUGAAUAAGUAUGUCCCAGAGUGAUGAACUUUGGAGUGCUCAGUUUUUUUUACUUUGUGAGGCAUUUUAGAAACUUGUGUCUAUCAAUGAUUACUAUAAUAAUUGAUCUCACUGAAAAAUAUGAACAAAAUGAGUUACAUAAUCACUUCUGUGAACCUGAGUUCCAGCACAGAUGUUUACCCUAAGCAAAAUAUAUACGGAGGGAGAUCAGUGUUUUUAUUUGU